UUUGAAGAAAAGUGGGGGAAAAACUGACGGACACAAAAGCGCCCAUCAGUCGAGUGGUUGACCAUUUUUCUCUACCCGGAGAGAUUCAUUUCUUCCAUGGAUUCCGCCAUCUCUCUAAUGGCCUCCAAUUCCUUUCUCUCUACUCUCUCCACCAUCCCCCGCAGCUCCUUCACCUCCAUUUCCACUAUCUCAACUCUUUCUUUCCCGCUUCGAGCUGCUCUUCCUCCCAUACACCGUCGUCAGAAAUUCGUCUCCGUUUUUGCUUCAGGUAAUGGCAAUGGCGGCGUUCGAGGAGAGAGCGGCGGCGGAGGUGGUGGCGGCGAUGAUGGUGGACCAAACGGCAGCGAUGUCGACUCGAAAUUGCUUGCUGGAGAAGCUGACGACGAUGCCACGCUGUCUGCAGACGUCAUUGUUAUCGGUGUUGGAGGGAUGACGUGCAAGGGGUGUUGUGCGAGUGUCAAGAGGAUCCUUGAAAGUCAGCCACAAGUGUCACAUGCUAGUGUUGACCUUGCUUCUGAGACGGCAAUCGUGUGGCCUGUAGCUGAAGCAAAAAUCACACCCAACUGGAGGGAAGAGCUAGGAGUGGCACUUGCAAAGCAUUUGACUACUUGUGGUUUUUCUUCGAAGGUUCAAGUUCAAGAAUUCAGUUGAAGCUUCUUUGAACUACACAAUUUUGCGGCAGCUGAAUUGCAUAAAUUAAUUUCACUGAUGUCUUAUUGGACAAGGUGCUAUCGGAGGCGACGUUACAUUAUAGUAAUGCAAAAGUUCAAUGGGGCAAGUGAAUUUUAUGCUAUGUUAUGACACGACACGAAUUUCAAGUAGUUCUAUCUACUAACUUGAAUUGAACUCAACAAUAAGUGCAGAAGCCAAAGAACAAGACUCAAUUUGUUGCAUAUCAAUAUGUAUCAAUAAAGUGAUUAGUUGGAGACCCUUGAGACCGGAAAUCUUUUGUUGCAUACUGUGAAAAGAGUGACAUGUUUUCAGGUAUGGUAUAACUAGGAGUGUAGUCUUGGAAGUUGAUUACAAACUAUAGUUAGGGUUGUUUUUUUAUGUGCAAAGGACAUUAUUAGUUGCUGUUAUGCUCGUUGUUAAGAAUGUUAGCAUUUGAAAAGUUACCUUUUUCUAGAACAA